AUGAGGUUGAGAAUUACUGUUUUUUCUAAUGCUGAAUGGGCCUUAAGAAUGGACAUUGCACAGUUGGGCUUCUAACAGCCCACUGAAGCAGGGCUGUUAGAUACUCAGUAUGAAGGGAAGAUUUGGGCUUACCCAUUGAAGCAGGGAUGUUAGAUACUCGGUAUGAAGGGAAGAUUUGGGCUUACCCAUUGAAGCAGGGUUGUUAGAUACUCGGUAUGAAGGGAAGAUUUGGGCUUACCCAUUGAAGCAGGGAUGUUAGAUACUCGGUAUGAAG
rnacentral:lncRNA from 1 species